rnacentral:tRNA from 1 species
GGGCGAAUAGCUCAGUUGGUCAGAGCACUCGGUUUACACCCGAGCGGCCGGGGGUUCGAGUCCCUCUUCGCCCA